UUGGCUAACUAAAGCAAGAAUGAAAUUUAAUGGAAGGAUACAGCUAACUCACAGAGAGGGCCAAGAACCAGUCUUGGAAGAAGACAGGAACUAAGCCAGUUCUGGAGGAGCAGAAACGAGCAGGAGUUCGUGAAGUAAGUCCUUAAAAUCACAUCUGUUCACCUUAUGUGACGGGAAGGAGAGGCGACUUCUGAAGCAGGGUGAUUGAAAUGGAAAUACAUUCAAAUAAAUGGACUCUGGAGCUCCACUUUGUUCUAAAUAACCUCUACUGUAACAACAUCCAACUGCUUUCUUCAUAAGAAGACUAGGAAAGUAUAAUGAAAACUAUAUGGAGAAGGAUAAA